rnacentral:rRNA from 1 species
CGAAANNNNNGCUUCNGCCNUAGUGGCGCACGGGUGANUAACACGUGGGAACCUGCCUUUCGGUUCGGGANAACGUCUGGAAACGGACGCUAACACCGGAUACGCCCUUCGGGGGAAAGUUUACGCCGAGAGAGGGGCCCGCGUCCGAUUAGGUAGUUGGUGGGGUAAUGGCCCACCAAGCCGACGAUCGGUAGCUGGUCUGAGAGGAUGAUCAGCCACACUGGGACUGAGACACGGCCCAGACUCCUACGGGAGGCAGCAGUGGGGAAUAUUGGACAAUGGGGGCAACCCUGAUCCAGCAAUGCCGCGUGAGUGAUGAAGGCCUUAGGGUUGUAAAGCUC